rnacentral:lncRNA from 1 species
AUCAAAGCCAUUUUAUUAGAAAAGUCAAGGAGAUAAACAGCCAGCAAGACAAUUCGUGCUCUUAAAAUAGAGCACUACAACAGUUCGGUGAAUUUUUCAGAUUAGCAUCUAGGAGUUGGCACGCCACAGAUGUUAGCAACCCUUCUGGCAUUGGGAGAGUUAACAUACUGACUCAGGCUUGGAUUUUUUAUAUACCCACAAAGGCAAGGCUCCUGCUCCUUCAGCUUUCUGCAGCAAGUAUCUGAUGGAGGCAGCGACAUCAUUAUUGCCCCCGCGCACGAGCUCAGCUCUAGCGGGCUGCAAUUGACCGCCUCCGUCACUUGUAAUUUUCCAACAAACAGAACCACCACUGCCAAGCACAAUGCAAAGCUCAUUGCUGUCUUCAUCUUCAAAGUGGGCAAUGAUAUAAAGAAUUAAUCCAAGAAAGUUACGCGAUUGUUGUAUUUUGGAAUGAAGAGAUGUCCUGCAAUUUAUAGAAACCAGGGUCUGAUUACCAAGAUGAGUCGACUAGUGAGCAUAGGGAAAGGUCCAAAUUGAGAAAAGAUGUUGGAAGCAACACCAACG